rnacentral:rRNA from 1 species
AUUGAACGCUGGCGGAAUGCUUUACACAUGCAAGUCGAACGGCAGCAUAGAGAGCUUGCUCUCUGAUGGCGAGUGGCGAACGGGCGAGUAAUAUAUCGGAACGUACCUAGUAAUGGGGAAUAACUAGCUGAAAGGUUAGCUAAUGCCGCAUACGACCUACGGGUGAAAGCAGGGGAUCUUCGGACCUUGCGUUAUUAGAGCGGCCGAUAUCUGAUUAGCUUGUUGGUGAGGUAACGGCUCACCAAGGCUGCGAUGGUUACCGGGUGUGAGAGCAUGGCCCGGCUCACUGGGACUGAGACACUGCCCAGACACCUACGGGUGGCUGCAGUCGAGAAUCUUCGGCAAUGGACGAAAGUCUGACCGAGCGACGCCGCGUGCGGGAUGAAGGCCCUCGGGUUGUAAACCGCUGUCAGUAGUUAGGAAGUCCAUGAGGGUUACCUCUCAUGGUUGACCGAUCUUCAGAGGAAGGACGGGCUAAGUUCGUGCCAGCAGCCGCGGUAAGACGAACCGUCCAAACGUUAUUCGGUAUCACUGGGCUUAAAGCGUGCGUAGGCGGCUUGGUAGGUGAGAUGUGAAAGCCCACGGCUCAACCGUGGAAUUGCGUUUCAAACCCCCAAGCUCGAGGAAGAUAGGGGUGAUGGGAACUUAUGGUGGAGCGGUGAAAUGCGUUGAUAUCAUAGGGAACACCGGUGGCGAAAGCGCAUCACUGGAUCUUUUCUGACGCUGAGGCACGAAAGCUAGGGUAGCGAACGGGAUUAG